CAAUAGCCCUCCAAGGUAGGUGCUAUGAUUAUUUCUAUUACUUUUUUGGCUGCACCUCACGGCAUGCAGAACUUUACCAACGAGGGAAGGAAACUGUGCCCCCACCCCUGCAGUGGAAGUGGGGGUUCUUAAUCACCGGCCCACCAGGAAAGCCCUAUUUCUAUUUUAUAGAUGGUUUUGACAUCGUUUUCAAUUCUUUCAUGGAAGAGGUUCGGGAUCCAGCUGGAGAGAAGAGGAAAUCAGGUUGGCAAAAGGUUUAAUCUCUGAUGAUCUGCCCAUGAUGGCGACUGUACUUUCUUACCUUGCUAAUGGAUGUGAAAACUAGCAAGUCCCUUGGAGGGCAAUUUGUUGUUCCCACUGACAGAUACGUAGUUAUUGGACAAGGAGGCUCUGAUACCCUGUCUUGGCUGUAGACUCAGCUGGGAGUUCCGGAGUAAGAAGCGAUGGAUCCUCAUUCUAGGGAAGGAAGACAGAUCAUCAGACUCAGAAAAACCAGGGACACAUCAGUCCUCCAAAUGAAUCUUGAGAGUCCCCUUUCAGCCUCUCACACUCUUUUAAAUUUACUGACUUAAA